AAGCGGAAAAGAAACUAACAAGGAUUCCCCUAGUAAUGGCGAAUGAAGAGGGAAAAGCCCAAAUUUGUAAUCUGGCUCUUUCAGAGUCCGAGUUGUAAUUUUAAGAACUGUUUUCAGUGCUGGACCAUGUACAAGUCUGUUGAAAAGCAGCAUCAUAGAAGGUGAUAAUCCUGUUCAUGAUAUGGACUACCAGUGCAAUAUGAUACAGUCUCUAAGAGUCGAGUUGUUUGGGAAUGCAGCUCAAAGUGGGUGGUAAAUUCCAUCUAAGGCUAAAUAUUGAUGAGAGACCGAUAGCAAACAAGUACCGUGAGGGAAAGAUGAAAAGAACUUUGGAAAGAGAGUUAACAGUACGUGAAAUUGUUAAAAGGGAAACAAUUGAAGUUAGACUUGUUAUUAUUAGUUCAACCUUUUCUAAGGGGGUAUUCUAAUGAUUAACAGACCAACAUCAAUUUUUGGGUGUUGGAGAAGGGUUUAAGGAAAUGUAGCAGUUUUUGACUGUGUUAUAGUCCUGAGCUUUGAUACAAUGCUUAAGAUUGAGGAAUGCAGUAAGCCCUUUCUUUUUUUGGGUGGAACAAAUUAUUGUCUCUACUGAGGAUGUGUCAAA
rnacentral:rRNA from 1 species